ACAUUUCAAUAUGCCCCUGACUUCUAAGGGGUGUUUUUAUUUGUGACUACUCCAAAAAGCCUAGAUUUCUAUCAGUAGAACAUCACAUUAUUCUUUUCUGUUUGCAGGAAGAUUUGGUGUUGAUGGAGGAGGCAACAUCUUCAAGGCAAAACCUUAGACCUGAUGCAACAUCAUCCAGUGUCAAAAUCACCCUUUAGGAGUGAGGAGGAUGUGAUUCGUCAUGCAGCAGCACAGAUAAACACUACAAAGACAUCUGAAGUCUGUCACGAGAUAACACGUCUGAAGUUGUGGAAACAUAAAAAACCAGGAAUUCCAGUCAAUCCCCUGAAAAUCACCUUCCUUGGAGAGCCUGUAAAAAUAAAUAAAUAAAAUUAUAUGUAUAUAAAGCUAAAAACAAUAAAGCAAAAUGUACAGCUCCAUUACUCCAGUCCUAAGUGUCCNUGUUCAAUUUAGCUUUUGCUUGUGUACCUCCUAAAGGGUGAUUUUGACACUGGAUGAUGUUGCAUCAGGUCUAAGGUUUUGCCUUGAAGAUGUUGCCUCCUCCAUCAACACCAAAUCUUCCUGCAAACAGAAAAGAAAAAUGUGAUGUUCUACUGAUAGAAAUCUAGGCUUUUUGGAGUAGUCACAAAUAUAAACACCCCUUAGAAGUCAGGGGCAUAUUGAAAUGUGGAAGUUAGUUCAUUAAAAGGUCUUCAAAGCAAAGUCUUUGCAAGGCUACAGUGGUACUGGCUGACAAGUCCUGAAUAUCAGUCCUUGCUAUUGAAGUAAUAAGUUUGGCAAUUGUCAUUGCACAGGUCUUAAAGAUAGUACAAAACAAACCUGUUAUUAAAAUGCACAAUACACAGCUCUGUAGACUAGGGUGAAGUCAGAAUGUACAGACAUCAGUCCCAAAUCGUUGUAUUUUAGAAAACUGAAUGGCAGACUACAGUUGUGGGGUGCCGCGAAUAGACUUGAGUGUGCAUACGGUCAUAAUUGAUGAAUCAUAACCCGCCAAAUGAGCUAGUUAUUUGAUGUGCGUUACUUACCUUACUUCACUGAAGCUAUGAUAAUCUAUAAUCUCUGAAAAUAUUGGCCUGACGCUUUACUAUUGGGGGCUCUGGCAGCUAGCUAUACUGUUGGCUAAUCAAAUCUUACGUAUUUAGAUGGGAGAGCAUGAGAGGAGAUAAUAAUUAAGUUGACUUGUCACUGAGUUUAAGAUGUUAAGUUAGUUAUCUUACCCAGUACACGACCUGUUGCUCGUCAUGAUGCACCCUCGCUCGCUCUUCUGUCAGACUGCGGCGGCAGUGCAGCGGAUUCCGGGGAAACUGAGUGGGCGUGGUCAACCUGUGACUUCAAUCGAGAGUGACCAAUAGGAAAAGGCCUUUCAUGCUGGUGGGUAGAGACUGCCCACUGAGAGACAGCUUAACUCGCAAGCAAAACUUUUCAACUCGCAAAAAAAAGUUUUAGACCCGCAAAAAAAAAAAGACGGCAGAAAAGAGCAACAUUUGUGGUUUCGCUAUAAAAAAUAUUGGAGUGCAUAAAGAAAAAUAAAGAUUUUCAAAGAUUUAUAUACGCUGCAAAUAAUUUUGUUAUGAUUUUCUUUAUUUUUGAGCCUUAAGAGGAAUUUUUUUUGCAAUCUUUUAUUUUUUAAUUACAAAAUAAUUAGUUUUACUUUCAAACACAGAAUGUUUGAUUGAAUAAUAAAGACACAAAAAUCAUUCCAUACACGUGUGGCAUCAAAGUACCGCAAGAGCAUUUCGAGAGCAGCCGGCUGACUCAGGCAACAGAGCGACUGCAGGAGCGCUGAUGACGACAGAGCUAUUUCACGAUUGGCCAGAUUCACCACAUGACAACGAUCACGUUUGUUUCGGGUUUAUUCCUACCUUUUCAUGUUCAAUAAUGGCCACAAAUGUGUUUUUAGAAUGGUAAAAGCUUUUUUUUUUUUUUUUUUUUUUUACUGUAGUCGCACUGAUAUAUUGAGUCACGUUUAUCAUACAACACUGAUAAAAGCACACAUACCCCCACUUUAUUAGUAUUUAAAUAGUAUAUGACUAUGUUGAACUUUAUUCUUGAAAAUAUGGUGCUGUAUUAAGCAGUAUGUAAAAACUGUUUCUGUUGCUCAUGAAAAUGUCUCUAAAAUGUCUGUGUAUUUGACAUAUUGCAUUUAAUUUACUCCAUCUGUGAUAAAGUAUGCAAACACUGCCUGAGUGUCACUAACAGGAGCAGAAAGUGUCCGUCUUGACGUCUGUUUUCAACUCCGCACCCGACUGAAAGCGGCUACUCUCGUUGACUACCAUCUGUAGCCGUGCUUCAAGUCGAACGCAUAUAUGAUCACCAUUGCUUAGUUGAACGUCACCUGACCAAACCCGGAAAACAGAGGCAGGUUUAAGCUCAAACUGCUGAGCAACGUUUUGCUACGGUUUCUGGUUUGAACGACAUGCUUCCUGGAAAUGGUGUGCAACAAGGUUUGAGAUACGUUCCCUGCGUCACAAUGUGCAUACUAUCCACCCUAUCUGCCCUAAACAGUAUUGAAAAUUACUAAUAUCAACUAGAAUUUAGGAUGGAUAGUAUGCACAUUGGGACGCAGGCGUUUUCUCUAGUUUGGUGGGUGUGUCAAAAAUGUCAGCCAAAUCAGCAGCAACAUGUAUUUAAAAGACAGCUCGCACAAUGUAAUUAACAUCAAAAUAAAAUCACAAGAGCAAAUAUUGUUUGCACAUGUUUAUUUACAUUAAAGGCAAAAUAACUUUAAAUAAUUAGAGCACAGGUAUAGAUCUGGAAGUUCUUUAAGUCUGUCAAAAUAUAAUUUAGUAAUUGCAACGUCUGCUGGUCCAUAUCCUUUCCUUAGGAAGGUGUGCUAGACGCUGAUUAAUAAUUUAACAUAAAAAUACUAUACAUUUAUAUAUUUUGCUAUUGUAUUGUGGAGGGACACUUUCAUUAUCUUUUCUAUACUCCUC
rnacentral:lncRNA from 12 species